UACGUAGGGUGCAGGCGUUAAUCGGAAUUACUGGGCGUAAAGCGUGCGCAGGCGGUCUUUUAAGUCAGAUGUGAAAUCCCCGGGCUUAACCUGGGAACUGCGUUUGAAACUGGAAGGCUUGAGUGUGGCAGGAGGGGGGUGGAAUUCCACGUGUAGCAGGUGAAAUGCGUAGAGAUGUGGAGGAACACCGAUGGCGAAGGCAGCCCCCUGGGCUAACACUGACGCUCAUGCACGAAAGCGUGGGGAGCAAACAGG
rnacentral:rRNA from 1 species